rnacentral:piRNA from 1 species
UCUGCACAAACAUAGAUUCCCAGUGAUGC